rnacentral:lncRNA from 1 species
ACUCGUCUGAUGAUGAGGAAAGCUUUGUCGUCAGAGCAAAUCCGCCUGUCAUAGAAGGAAUUAACCAGGGACAAGGCACCAUGGCACGGUGAGCAAACAACUACUACUCAUGAAGAAGCACGCAAAACGAGAGAGAACCGAACUCCACGGAAAAGUAAAGAAGAGAAGAAGACAAUAGACAGAAAAAAAAAAGAUGCCUUUGUGAUCCUGCCACAUGGACACCGCAUCUCGGACUGCCCGGAGCUCCCCGGCCGCGCGCGGCCGCCGCCGUUAGUCGCGCCUCCGAAGCAAAACCACCCGUGGGAUCGAUCGUGGCGCAACAACGAGAGAGGAGCAGUACCGAGCGGGGGAUCGAGGGAAAAUAGAUAGAGAUCGAGGG